rfam:Picea glauca, whole genome shotgun sequence.
GUACAUGCCUACAGCAUAACGUUAAUGCCUUGGAUCCCAUUAGAACUUCGCAAUUAAGCGCGCUUAGACUAGAGUAGUAUUGGGAUGGGUGACCGCCUGAGAAGUCCUAGUGUUUUAUAUG